CCUAAACCUCCGUGCUGCCCUGCUUGACUGCAAUGCCUGGUUGUUUUCACCAAGUAGCGGAAUGAAAAAGAGUAGAAAAAGAGUAACGCUUUAGGAAAAAUAACUUAAUUUUUCCUCCAACAUUUUCUUGUCUUCAGAGGACUCAUUUGCUUAAAGUCUCUGUUCGUGACAUAAAGGAAGUCUCAUGAAGAAGAGGGAAGAAAAGCCCUCCCCUUACACCAAACCCCUGGAUGGAGGAUGGGGAUGGAUGGUUGUGCUUCAUUUUUUCCUGGUGAAUGUGUUUGUGAUGGGAAUGACCAAGACAUUUGCAAUUUUCUUUGUGGUUUUUCAAGAAGAGUUUGAAGGCACUUCAGAGCAAAUUGGUUGGAUUGGAUCUAUUAUGUCAUCACUCCGUUUUUCUGCAGGUCCCCUGGCUGCUAUUAUUUGUGACAUAUUUGGAGAAAAAACUACCUCCAUUCUUGGGACUUUCCUUGUUUCUGGUGGCUAUCUCAUCAGCAGCUGGGCCACAGGCAUUCCCUUUCUUUGUGUGACCAUGGGACUGCUACCUGGUUUGGGGUCUGCUUUCUUGUACCAAGUAGCUGCUGUGGUAAUUACCAAAUAUUUCAAAAAACGAUUGGGUCUUUCUACAGCAAUUGCCCGUUCAGGGAUGGGACUGACAUUUUUGUUGGCACCCUUUACAAAACUCCUGAUAGAUCUUUAUGACUGGACAGGUAUCACUGAGACAGUCAGUCAGCUCAUUUCUGGAUGGAUUGCAGAUCAGAAUUGGAUCAAGAAGUAUCAAUACCACAAGGCUUACCUCAUCCUGUGUGGUGUUACUAACCUGCUUGCUCCUUUAGCCACCACAUUCCCACUCCUUAUGGCCUAUACCAUCUUUUUUGCCAUUUUUGCUGGUGGCUACCUGGCACUAAUACUGCCAGUAUUGGUUGACCUAUCUAAGAAUUCUAGAGUACACAGGUUUUUGGGAUAUGCCAGUUUCUUUGCUGGGAUGGCUGUUCUUUCUGGACCACCAAUAGCAGGCUGGAUAUACGAUUAUACACAGACAUACGUGGGCUCUUUCUAUUUCUCUGGCACCUGCUAUAUCCUCUCUUCAGUUUCCCUUUUUUUUGUACCACUGGCUGAAAGAUGGAAACUCAAGCAGUCUGACCUUCUAAGGACUACAAUCAAGUAAGAGCCUAACAAAAAAAAUCUAAAUAAGCUACUGUAAGUAAAAGCUUAGAAGAAAAAAAACUUUGUUAAGAAAGUAAACCAUAUAAUUUUUAAGAUUCCUUCCUACUUUAUUAGCACUGCCAGGAAUGUCCAAUUGGUGGAAGGAGUAAUAAAUGAGUAACAACUUAAACUGUUAGUAUUUAAUCAAAUAAGCUAAAAAUUGAAUCCAUUGAAGCAGCUACUUUACUAUUAAAUGACCAAAGGAAUAUUCUACAAUAAAUCAAUCCAAUUUUUCAUUUGUGCUAUGGUAAUUCUGUCAUUAAAAUAUGCAACAAUUGU
rnacentral:lncRNA from 1 species